rnacentral:tRNA from 2 species
AAGAAGUUAGUUUAAAAAAAACAUUAACUUGUCAAGUUAAAAAUACUAGAUAGUACUCCUUA